CAGCCACUCAUACGCCUCUGAUAUUCGAGCUUUAAUGUCAGUCUGCUUUCAGUCUCGUGAUGUUGACGGCCAGCCUUUCCCCGUGGACGCACACUGGACAUCCUUAGGAUGUCCCUGUGCUGGACAUCCUUGUGAACACAUCAUUCCUUGGCAUAUCAGGACAACGCUCUAACCAACUGAGCUACUUGGCCAGGGCAUCAGUCCAUCAUUUUGGAGGAAAGAAGGAUCUUUAAAUGCGUUAAUCGAGAGUUAGGAUUAACUUACUCGGUUCCUGCUGGCAGAGGUUAACGCUCUGCUAUGUGUCAAGGAGUGAUCCAGGUGCUGAGAGUGUCACCCUGUAUGAAGUGUGGCGUUUGCCAUUCAGCACUUACAUCGUUGUGAGAGGGACAAGUCAGCGGAGCCUCGGGUAGGAUGGUGGAUCCGAGGUCCCAAAACCAAGGUGAGGAAGGCCUUCGAAGGUGAAUGAGGCAAGGCCCCGCCCUGGAAGGAGUCACGAGGUCUCAGGGCUCCAGGCUGCAGUGUCCUGCCGCCAUCUCCCCUUGUCCAGGACC